rnacentral:rRNA from 1 species
UAAUACCGGAUAGAUCAAAGAUACUGGAAUGUUCCUUGAUCCAAAGCUCCGGCGUCCAAGGAUGGAUCUGCGGCCUAUCAGGUAGUAGUGGGUGUAACGUACCUACUAGCCUACGACGGGUACGGGUUGUGAGAGCAAGAGCCCGGAGAUGGAUUCUGAGACAUGAAUCCAGGCCCUACGGGGCGCAGCAGGCGCGAAAACUUUACACUGCGGGAAACCGCGAUAUGGGGACCCCGAGUGCCAGCACCUAGUGCUGGCUGUCCCGCUGUCUAAACAACAGUGGUUAGCAAGGGCCGGGCAAGACCGGUGCCAGCCGCCGCGGUAACACCGGCGGCCCGAGUGGUAGCCGUUAUUAUUGGGUUUAAAGGGUCCGUAGCCGGCCUAUUAAGUCUCUUGGGAAAUCUGGCGGCUUAAUCGUCAGGCGUCC